AUUGAACGCUGGCGGCAGGCUUAACACAUGCAAGUCGAGCGGAGAGAGGUAGCUUGCUACUGAUCUUAGCGGCGGACGGGUGAGUAAUGCUUAGGAAUCUGCCUAUUAGUGGGGGACAACAUUUCGAAAGGAAUGCUAAUACCGCAUACGUCCUACGGGAGAAAGCAGGGGAUCUUCGGACCUUGCGCUAAUAGAUGAGCCUAAGUCGGAUUAGCUAGUUGGUGGGGUAAAGGCCUACCAAGGCGACGAUCUGUAGCGGGUCUGAUAGGAUGGACCGCCACACUGGGACUGAGACACGGCCCAGACUCCUACGGGAGGCAGCAGUGGGGAAUAUUGGACAAUGGGCGCAAGCCUGAUCCAGCCAUGCCGCGUGUGUGAAGAAGGCCUUAUGGUUGUAAAGCACUUUAAGCGAGGAGGAGGCUACUUUAGUUAAUACCUAGAGAUAGUGGACGUUACUCGCAGAAUAAGCACCGGCUAACUCUGUGCCAGCCGCCGCAGUAAAAC
rnacentral:rRNA from 1 species